rnacentral:rRNA from 1 species
GAUGAACGCUGGCGGCGUGCCUAAUACAUGCAAGUCGAGCGAAUGGAUUAAGAGCUUGCUCUAUGAAGUUAGCGGCGGACGGGUGAGUAACACGUGGGUAACCUGCCCAUAAGACUGGGAUAACUCCGGGAAACCGGGGCUAAUACCGGAUAACGUUUUGAACCGCAUGGUUCGAAAUUGAAAGGCGGCUUCGGCUGUCACUUAUGGAUGGACCCGCGGCGCGUUAGCUAGUUGGUGAGGUAACGGCUCACCAAGGCAACGAUGCGUAGCCGACCUGAGAGGGUGAUCGGCCACACUGGGACUGAGACACGGCCCAGACUCCUACGGGAGGCAGCAGUAGGGAAUCUUCCGCAAUGGACGAAAGUCUGACGGAGCAACGCCGCGUGAGUGAUGAAGGCUUUCGGGUCGUAAAACUCUGUUGUUAGGGAAGAACAAGUGCUAGUUGAAUAAGCUGGCACCUUGACGGUACCUAACCAGAAAGCCACGGCUAACUACGUGCCAGCCGCCGCGGUAA